rnacentral:misc_RNA from 1 species
UUUCCGUAGGUGAACCUGCGGAAGGAUCAUUAUUGUAUAACCGAGGUGCGAGGGCUGUCGCUGACCCGAAAGGUCGUGCACGCCCGAGUGCCCUCACACACACCAUCUCACCCCUAUGUGCACCACCGCGUGGGUCCCCCUUUGGCUUGUUCGGAGGGGGGCUUACGUUUUCACACAAACUUUGUAUGCAGUGUAGAAUGUAUUUUUUGUUUUUGCGAUCACGCAAUCAAUACAACUUUCAACAACGGAUCUCUUGGCUCUC